rnacentral:rRNA from 1 species
AGUCGAACGAUGAUGCCCAGCUUGCUGGGCGGAUUAGUGGCGAACGGGUGAGUAAUACGUGAGUAACCUGCCCUUGACUCUGGGAUAAGCCUGGGAAACUGGGUCUAAUACUGGAUACUACCUCUUACCGCAUGGUGGGUGGUGGAAAGGGUUUUACUGGUUUUGGAUGGGCUCACGGCCUAUCAGCUUGUUGGUGGGGUAAUGGCUCACCAAGGCGACGACGGGUAGCCGGCCUGAGAGGGUGACCGGCCACACUGGGACUGAGACACGGCCCAGACUCCUACGGGAGGCAGCAGUGGGGAAUAUUGCACAAUGGGCGGAAGCCUGAUGCAGCGACGCCGCGUGAGGGAUGACGGCCUUCGGGUUGUAAACCUCUUUCAGUAGGGAAGAAGCGAGAGUGACGGUACCUGCAGAAGAAGCGCCGGCUAACUACGUGCCAGCAGCCGCGGUAAUACGUAGGGCGCAAGCGUUGUCCGGAAUUAUUGGGCGUAAAGAGCUCGUAGGCGGUUUGUCGCGUCUGCUGUGAAAGCCCGGGGCUCAACCCCGGGUCUGCAGUGGGUACGGGCAGACUAGAGUGCAGUAGGGGAGACUGGAAUUCCUGGUGUAGCGGUGAAAUGCGCAGAUAUCAGGAGGAACACCGAUGGCGAAGGCAGGUCUCUGGGCUGUUACUGACGCUGAGGAGCGAAAGCAUGGGGAGCGAACAGGAUUAGAUACCCUGGUAGUCCAUGCCGUAAACGUUGGGCACUAGGUGUGGGGGACAUUCCACGUUUUCCGCGCCGUAGCUAACGCAUUAAGUGCCCCGCCUGGGGAGUACGGCCGCAAGGCUAAAACUCAAAGGAAUUGACGGGGGCCCGCACAAGCGGCGGAGCAUGCGGAUUAAUUCGAUGCAACGCGAAGAACCUUACCAAGGCUUGACAUUCACCGGACCGCCCCAGAGAUGGGGUUUCCCUUCGGGGCUGGUGGACAGGUGGUGCAUGGUUGUCGUCAGCUCGUGUCGUGAGAUGUUGGGUUAAGUCCCGCAACGAGCGCAACCCUCGUUCUAUGUUGCCAGCACGUGAUGGUGGGGACUCAUAGGAGACUGCCGGGGUCAACUCGGAGGAAGGUGGGGAUGACGUCAAAUCAUCAUGCCCCUUAUGUCUUGGGCUUCACGCAUGCUACAAUGGCCGGUACAAAGGGUUGCGAUACUGUGAGGUGGAGCUAAUCCCAAAAAGCCGGUCUCAGUUCGGAUUGAGGUCUGCAACUCGACCUCAUGAAGUCGGAGUCGCUAGUAAUCGCAGAUCAGCAACGCUGCGGUGAAUACGUUCCCGGGCCUUGUACACACCGCCCGUCAAGUCACGAAAGUUGGUAACACCCGAAGCCGGUGGCCUAACCCCUUGUGGGAGGGAGCCG